GAUGAACGCUGGCGGCGUGCUUAACACAUGCAAGUCGAACGAUGAAGCUCAGCUUGCUGGGUGGAUUAGUGGCGAACGGGUGAGUAACACGUGAGUAACCUGCCCUUAACUCUGGGAUAAGCCUGGGAAGCUAGGUCUAAUACCGGAUAGGAGCGUCCACCGCAUGGUGGGUGUUGGAAAGAUUUAUCGGUUUUGGAUGGACUCGCGGCCUAUCAGCUUGUUGGUGAGGUAAUGGCUCACCAAGGCGACGACGGGUAGCCGGCCUGAGAGGGUGACCGGCCACACUGGGACUGAGACACGGCCCAGACUCCUACGGGAGGCAGCAGUGGGGAAUAUUGCACAAUGGGCGAAAGCCUGAUGCAGCGACGCCGCGUGAGGGAUGACGGCCUUCGGGUUGUAAACCUCUUUCAGUAGGGAAGAAGCGAAAGUGACGGUACCUGCAGAAGAAGCACCGGCUAACUACGUG
rnacentral:rRNA from 1 species